rnacentral:rRNA from 1 species
GACGAACGCUGGCGGCGUGCUUAACACAUGCAAGUCGAGCGGAAAGGCCCUUCGGGGUACUCGAGCGGCGAACGGGUGAGUAACACGUGAGUGACCUGCCUUUGACUUUGGGAUAACCCUCGGAAACGGGGGCUAAUACCGGAUAGGACCUUCUGCCGCAUGGUGGGGGGUGGAAAGCUUUUGCGGUCAGGGAUGGGCUCGCGGUCUAUCAGCUUGUUGGUGGGGUGAUGGCCUACCAAGGCGACGACGGGUAGCCGGCCUGAGAGGGCGACCGGCCACACUGGGACUGAGACACGACCCAGACUCCUACGGGAGGCAGCAGUGGGGAAUAUUGCACAAUGGGCGGAAGCCUGAUGCAGCGACGCCGCGUGAGGGAUGACGGCCUUCGGGUUGUAAACCUCUUUCGGUAGGGACGAAGCGUGAGUGACGGUACCUACAGAAGAAGCGCCGGCCAACUACGUGCCAGCAGCCGCCGCCU